AAUUUGAUACAUUUGUCUUCUUUCAUGUGGAUCAUCUUAUGGGAAAUAAGUUUAUAUCUAUGAGCAAAGGACUAUCCACAUUCUGUGCUUUUAAAUGGUUUCUCUCCUGUGUGGAUCUUUUUGUGCCUUUUAAGAUUACUGUUGCAAGUAAAGGUCUUUCCACACUCCAUGCAUUUAUAUGGCUUCUCCCCUGUGUGGAUCAUCUUAUGAGAAAUAAGAUGACCUCUUUGAGCAAACGACUUUCCACACUCCAUGCAUUUAAAUGGCUUCUCCCCUGUGUGGAUCAUCUUAUGAGAAAUAAGAUGAUCUCUUCGAGCAAACGUCUUUCCACACUCCAUGCAUUUAUAUGGUUUCUCCCCUGUGUGCAUCUUUUUGUGGCUUCUAACUCCACUGUCAUGAGUAAACGUCUUUCCACACUCCAUGCAUUUAUACGGCUUCUCCCCUGUGUGGAUCAUCUUAUGGGAAAUAAAAACAUCUC